rnacentral:siRNA from 1 species
GGAUAACCGUAGCUUCGAGGCUCA